CAUUCAUUCACAAUUUAUAUGGCUCAUGUCUAAUGAAGAUAACUAUAUAUUGAAUCAAGUAUGUAAUUUGAUUAAUAAUUUAAAUACUGUAAGAAAACAAAUUCUAGAAACUUAAUUAGAAUUGCUAAUAUUGUUAAUAUUUUAUUUUACUUUUAUAUAUCCAUGUUUACUAUGGGUACACUACUGCCAAAGGUUUGUCUGUUAUUCGCAGCUAGAUUGGAUCUUAUUUAAUAUGAACUUCAGGGCUAACUGUAUUUGUCAAUCUCAUUGAUAAUAAUAAUAAUAAUAAAUAUAUAAAAAAAAAUGUAUAGAUAUAUAUAACUAUAUAUAUAUCACAUAUUGAUGUUUUUGGUUUUUUUUU
rnacentral:lncRNA from 1 species